rnacentral:rRNA from 1 species
UACGGAGGGGGCUAGCGUUGUUCGGAAUUACUGGGCGUAAAGCGUACGUAGGCGGCUUUGUAAGUUAGAGGUGAAAGCCCGGGGCUCAACCCCGGAAUUGCCUUUAAGACUGCAUCGCUUGAAUCAUGGAGAGGUGAGUGGAAUUCCGAGUGUAGAGGUGAAAUUCGUAGAUAUUCGGAAGAACACCAGUGGCGAAGGCGACUCACUGGACAUGUAUUGACGCUGAGGUACGAAAGCGUGGGGAGCAAACAGG